AUGAGAAUGUCCUUAAAUUGAUAAAGGGUAAUCAACCCAAAUUUUAUACUAAAUAAAGUAGUUAAUAGAGAAUUGUAAGGGAAAUUUAUUUAAGAUGAAAAUAAGAAAAGAAAGGCUGUCCACAUUGCUUUGGUUCAAUAUAAUAUUCCAAGUCCUGACUACCACCAAUAUCCAAAGAAAUGCUGAAGCAGGAACAAAGCUUUAAAGCUUUAUAGAAAAGAGGGGAACUGUGCCAUUAUUUACAGAUAAUAUUGUCAUACACAUAGAAAGUUAACAGAGUAAAUAGACAAACUAUGACUACUAAGCAAGUAUUUCAGCAAUGCCGCUAAAUCUGAAUGAUUUAUCUGAUGAAAGGAAAAUGCUAAUGAUGUCAAUUAUAUUAGUAAUUUUUAUUCUAUUAUAAUCAAAAUGUUAACAGAAAUUUGUAACCAAUUCAAUAUUUUGUUUUUAAAUUUGAUUUUAUUAUUUGUUGAGCUCUAUAAUUUAAUUUAAGUAAGACUAGUGAAGAGAUAAGGAAGGAAUAGUAUUACACUACCAGGUAAAAGAAACUUACCACCAAGCUAUGAAAAAUAAAACAAGCAAAUGACAAUGCACAAAAAAAUGAGCAAUAAAAACAUAUAUGGAAAUCUUGCUGCAGGUACAGAGGCAAGCCCAAGUAAAUGAACCAAAACUCAAACUAGUUUGCUUUCAAAAAUGCAAAUGUAAAACAGUAAGCUAUCACUCUAAAUUUAUGGGAUGGGUAUAAAAAUGUGGAUACUAUCAAGUGUUAGUGAAAACAUUAAGACUGAGAAGAUUCAUACAUUGCAUCUCUUCUGUAAUCCAGCAAUGCCACAUUAUGGGGUAAAUUCCAGAGAAACUCUUACAGAUUCCUAAGUGAGUAUGUUCAGUGUUAUUUAUUAUGCCUUUUUUUAAAAGUGAGGUGCUAGAGGCACUGAAUGCGUCUGCACUAGGAGGAUGGAUAUUAUGUCCUCUUAAUAAAUACUAAGAGUUACUAUCGGGCAUUUAGACAUAAUAAAAUAAAUGCACUCAAGCUAGCAUGUAUUCAUUCUGAAAAAUUAUGUCAAAUUAAAAAUGUAAAUUGCAGAAUAAAACUUGUGAUGAAAUAACAUCUAUAUUAAUUUAAAACAAAUCCACAGAAAUAUACAUUUUACAAAGAUACAUAUCCAAUAAUAUUUACUUUUGCUUACCUGAGAAAAAGUGGCUCAUCUACUUGCACUUGAGGUCUAAUAAACAAAUUGAUACUAAAAUAAAAAUAAGAUAAUAUUAGGUAUGCUUAGAAAAAUCAGUAAAUAAUAUGUUCCUUGGACUUGGUGUUUGGUAUAGGAAAGGAAGUAUUACAGUGAGGAUGGGUGGUAUUCUGACUGUGAAAGUGUGUAUGUACUAAAGAAUCUAGACUAAAAUAGGAACUCCAGCCUAUGAAAUUGUGCUGUGCAGAACAGGAACCCAUAUGAUUUAGAUACGUAUUUUCAGUACAAGUUUGGAUUUCUAGUAUAUUUCACAUUUGUUGAAAUGCCCAGACUAUUUAUCUCUCUCUUAGAGGUCACAAUCUAUAUUUACAAACUAAAAGCUCUUAGAAAUCCUAUUGCAAUAAAAUGGUUUAUUUGGUUUAUUCCUGGAUUUCUUAAAUAUAGUUAGUUAAUUAUGAUUUUGUUCACUGAAUAACCAAUGUUAUCUUCCUAAAUAGAUGUAUUUUGUAAAUAAAAUUUAUGCAUCACUAUUGGAAUCGAUAGACAUUACUAUUAGAAUCAAUAGAGAAACUGAGGAUUUUAAAGACAUGAAGGGAUAUGAUCAAAUCUAAUAUAAUUUUCUUCCUUGUAAUAGGAUCAUAUUCAGGAUAUCACCAUCUAUUUAUUGAGCAUCUACACUGCACAUAGCUCCGUGAUGAGCAUAAUUGGGAAUAAAGCAGUAGGAUAAGUCACAGACCUUGUUCACACAGAGCUAAUUGGAGAGAUAAAUUUAACACACUGAGAUAAUUAGGUGAUGUGACCUACCACAUAUGACAGUAUGUAAAGGAAGAGGCAAAGUGUGGGGAAGCUGUCAAUUGACAUUCAGAAAAGAGAAAAGGUCAAGGAAGUUCAGAUGGCUGGAGAAAUCAAUGUGCAAGAAGUUGAGCUUGUUUUUUUAGGAUUAGUUCCCCAUUGAGAAGAGGGCAUUUGUGAAACAAUGAUUGUUCACAUAGGUUAUUGCAGUAGUCUAUGUCUACUCUGUCUCCAAUCUUCUUCUCCGUCAAUUUUUGGAAAUCUCUAUUAUCAAGUAAACAUCCUAAAACAUCACAUCCUAGAAUGGCCAAGAUCCUAAAAUGGCCUCCUAAUCAUGUAAAUUUCUGUGGAUUUAAAACAAAUCCACAGAAAUAUACAUUUUACGAGGAUACAUAUCCAAGAAUAUUUAUUUUUGCUUAUUUGAAUUUUGCUCUUUGUAGUCGUUUUUAAUUUGGUUCAGUAUAUAAUUGUAGAGUUUGUGGGUGUUUCAGGUUUUCCUGGAGCAUAUAUCCUACUCAAAAGAAACUUCUAGGCUGGUUUUAAGGUCGAUGAUGGAGAAGAAUGGCCUUGUUAUAUUAAUCAAUGACCUCCAUGCCAAUGUAAUUCACCCUAGCUUACUCAUCCAAAUCCUCUCCCUUUCCUUUUGUCAAAAUAAGAUUCUCUCCUUCAAUGGCCUUUGCUGAAGACACUCAGAAAUGUCCUUCUUCCUAUUAGUACCUAACUACAGACACUAUAUUUAUCCUUAGGUUCUCAUCACAGUAUUGGGCACAGAGAUCAGAUGUUAAACCCCCAGGAGUUAAGCAGCCUUCUCAUAAAAGUGGCAAAGUGUGUUGAGUGAGUUAUGUUACAAAUAAAGAAAAUAGUCCUAAAAGGUUAAUAUGUUGGAGAUGAAAAAGAAUCAAGCUAGUUCAACAUCUAUAUUGUCUUUAGAUAACAAUGGCUAUUGAGGGGGUGGGAAACGAAUAAAAUAGUAACUCAAUUCCAAGUAAGCAUUUAUUUGUCAUGUUUAUUGAACACGGAAAUGAUUGAGUACUUUGAGGAAAAUAAAGAUUUAUCUGACACAGUCCUUAGAUUGUAAUCCUUUAAGUUACAGUGACCUGUUUAGUGUCAUCCUCUGUAAAAGAAACUUGCUCUCAAACUGGACUCCACAGAUGCUAACAGUUGGUGAGGCUAACAAUCAUGAAUGAAGAGAAAAAUCAGCACACGUUGCCACAGAUCUUUCAUCAUCACUAUCACUGACAUCACUUUAUCUUACUUCCCAAUAUUUUUUUGUUUGAUGUAUCAAGGUAUCAAGUAAACCACAGUUGAAGGAAACGUUUUUGUUUGGCUUAACAACAAUUAGCCCAACAUUUUUCAGAAAUCUCUUCUAGCUUGUAAGUAUGAAUAUCUUCUAUUCACUCAAAAAGAUGCACAUUUUAAUAUGACCACAUUUUCUGUGACCAAAAUAAAUAAGAAAAUUGGAAAAUAAUUUUGAAGUUUGUUAAAUGGAGUAAAGACAAUACUGGAAUUUUUUUCUCAAUAAAAAGAAUGUAGAAUCUUUGUUCUAUAACAAUUUGUCUAUCUCAUCAGGAAG
rnacentral:lncRNA from 1 species